rnacentral:rRNA from 1 species
GCGGCAGGCUUCAUACAUGCAAGUCGAGGGGGCAGCAUAAAUUACUUGUAAUUUGAUGGCGACCGGCGAACGGGUGCGUAACGCGUAUGCAACUUACCUUUUACUAGAGAAUAGCCAAGAGAAAUUUUGAUUAAUGCUCUAUACACUUACUAACUUUCAUGAGUUUGUAAGAAAAGCUCCGGCGGUAAAAGAUGGGCAUGCGUCCUAUUAGCUUGUAGGUGAGGUAACGGCUCACCUAAGCUCCGAUAGGUAGGGGUCCUGAGAGGGAGACCCCCCACACUGGUACUGAGACACGGACCAGACUUCUACGGAAGGCAGCAGUAAGGAAUAUUGGACAAUGGAGGAAACUCUGAUCCAGCCAUGCCGCGUGAAGGAUGACGGCCUUAUGGGUUGUAAACUUCUUUUAUACAGGAAUAAACCUAUCCACGUGUGGAUAGCUGAAGGUACUGUAAGAAUAAGGAUCGGCUAACUCCGUGCCAGCAGCCGCGGUAAUACGGAGGAUCCAAGCGUUAUCCGGAAUUAUUGGGUUUAAAGGGUCCGCAGGCUGUUUGUUAAGUCAGAGGUGAAAUCCUACCGCUCAACGGUAGAACUGCCUUUGAUACUGGCAAACUUGAGUUAUUGUGAAGUAGUUAGAAUGUGUAGUGUAGCGGUGAAAUGCAUAGAUAUUACACAGAAUACCGAUUGCGAAAGCAGAUUACUAACAAUUAACUGACGCUGAGGGACGAAAGCGUGGGUAGCGAACAGGAUUAGAUACCCUGGUAGUCCACGCCGUAAACGAUGGUCACUAGCUGUUCGAUGUACAUUGGUACAUUGAGUGGCUAAGCGAAAGUGAUAAGUGACCCACCUGGGGAGUACGCUC